ACCAUCACGAACGUGUCCUAAGGGAAACGUCUCCUCACCGGUCUGCAAAAAAGCAAUUAGUAAACAUUGACUGAAAAAUGUGAAUUUCUCGGAUCAAAGUGACAGUUUGAUGCAAGAGAGUACCUCAUUUUGAGCUGGAAAAGCUUUAGCCAGCAAAAAUUGUCCAUCUCGGAAACAUAUGACUUCUGAUUCAUAUGAUUUUGUGCAAGUAAACAGAUUUAGUUUUUAUUGAAUCUGAUAUUUUGUGCAAUUUCGUCCUUGUGGCGGUUUGAAAUUUUUAAUUUAUAGUCAGAAACAAUAAAAUGGAAAAUUGGUCAACAAAAAACCUAAGGCAAAAAAACUAAAGGCAAUUUAUGGUAUUUUUUUUUUCUAUAACUCAAAAAUUUGUUAACAAAUUAAGCACAAAUUUUCUGGCAAUUGCACUGGAAUUUACUCGGAAUUACAGAACCUGCCCGCAUAGUCCGUUUGUAAUUUAUCAAUAUAACAUAUAUGUAGAAACGAGUUUUAGCCGUCUGUAGAACACAUACCACGAAUCUCGGCAGGAACAGCACACCUGCUUCAUAGUUCAUGAUCCUUAAACAUGGUGCAAUGUUAACAUUCUUAUUGAAGGCACCCCACGCUGCUUUCGAUAAAUUUGCCGAGGUCAACAUAAACCAAUAAAUAGAUUGGUCUUCCAAUUUCAUACGUGUGUAACUUUUUAUGUGCGGCAUUGCUUGCGAACGGUAACGCUGUUUUGAGCACCACUGAAAUAGAUGCCCCCGCAGCCACGACUGUUUAUCAUUAGUACUUGCGCCAUAGGGCAGGCAUCCACCACCUAGCAAGCCAUCAUGGCUGUUGCUUACAUUGCCAAAGCUGGGGUAAAUCAUUUUGAAUGGUGGAAAAUGUGUAAGCCCUGGUGG